rnacentral:lncRNA from 1 species
CUGCGGGCAGCUCCAGCACAGAGGACCCUGUUUUCCGGUCUCAACACAGAGGUGUGCUUUUCCAGGAGGACGUGGUAGGAGCCAGCUCCAUGCCAGGAGUGAAAUCAGAGGCCCAGGGUCGGGCUCCGAGCAGGAAGAGAGUCCGCAAGGAGGUGACCCAUCCAGGCGCCAGCCUGCCGGCUGGGGGUGCUGCUGGGGCCAGCCUGGGGGAGUUGGAGCCGCAGGCUGCAGGGCAGAGUCCCAGCCAGCUGCUCCCUGGGCCUGUGCAGGGGAGUGCUAGGUGCUCCAGGAGGCUCCAAGUCUCUCUGUGUGACAUUCUAACUACCAGAUGCCUCGGAAACCUUGGUAGCCCUUUGCCUGGUCUCCCAAAGAGAGCCCUGGUGGGCAUGGAGGGGCCAGCAGAAGUGAGACCGACCAGCUGCCCCAGGCCCACAGAGGUGGGAGGCCUGGGGAUGAGUGCCCCAGGUGGGGAGGGAACAAGCUCCAUGCCAAACAAAGAGGGUUUCUCUGAAAGGGUCCUGCCAUCCUCCCCGGACCCAGCUCCUGUGAGGGCAAGGAGGAAAAGCAGGAAGUCCAGGUCCUGUUCCAAGGGUGGGCAGGAGGCUGGUGGCUUCUUGUGGGUUGAUCAGAGCCCUGGUAGCGAGAGCCAGUCUUUAGGAGGCGCCCUCGCAGGUGCUGACCUGACGUCCUUAGGAGGCCCCUGCAGGCGUGUGUGUCAUGCGGACGCAAGGCUCGGAGAUCCAGGUGGAAGUCAGGCAGGAUGUGGUUCAGGAGCUGCGGGGCUUGAAUGUUUGCCUGCUGCAGGGUGUGGGGCCCAGCCAAGCGGACCCCUGGGCCCUGGCAGACUCUGUGCGGCAGAGUCCCACAGGCCGGCCACACAGGACUCCUCGGGGUGCACUGCACCGCACCAAGGGAUGCUGGGAUGGGCUUCCGCAGAACAGCCAGAAGUGGAGCGUAGGGCGGGGGCUGGCAGUGAGGAGGGCCCUGAUGCUCCACAUGGCCAGCGCGGGCCAGAGGCUGAGGCCCAGCUGGCGUCCAGGGAGAACCUGGGGCGAGGACUUGCUGUGCCCUCUGACAUGCAUGCCUGCUCCCCGGAGCCCUUGGGCAGCCUUAGCUCCUCCCUGGAGGCCACUGCCAGCAAGGCUUGCGCAGGCCCAUUUUCGUGGCAGAAAAGAGAUAGGUGUGCUAAGAAGCUAAGGAGGGACCCAGCAUCCUGUGCGCAAGAGCAGCCCGCGGACGGAAGUUCGGACAACCCCUGCCAGGGUGAGCUGGAGGAAGCCAGCCCAGAAGGAUGUCCCAGAUGGGUCACAGAAGAUAAGGAUGAGAUAACCAGCCCCAUGAGCCACCACUCAGCACUCACUCCUGCAGACAGUUUGGUAGGAACCCUUUCUUCCGUCUUUUUCCUAUGUGUAUAGAUCUCCUUU